rnacentral:tRNA from 1 species
AGCCCGGUGGUGUAGCGGAAGCAUGGCGGGCUUUGGCCCCGCCGGCGUGGGUUCGAGUCCCACCCGGGCUACCA